rnacentral:rRNA from 1 species
GGAAUAUUGCGCAAUGGGCGAAAGCCUGACGCAGCGACGCCGCGUGGGGGAUGAAGGUCCUCGGAUUGUAAACCCCUUUCGGGAGGGAAGAUGGCAUGGGGUAACCCAUUCGGACGGUACCUCCAGCAGCAGCCACGGCUCACUUCGUGCCAGCAGCCGCGGUAAUACGAAGGUGGCAAGCGUUGUUCGGAUUUACUGCGCGUACAGGGAGCGUAGGCGGUUGGAUAAGCCCUCCGGGAAAUCUCCAGGCUUAACCUGGAAAGUGCAGAGGGGACUGUUCAGCUAGAGGAUGGGAGAGGAGCGCGGAAUUCCCGGUGUAGCGGUGAAAUGCGUAGAGAUCGGGAGGAAGGCCGGUGGCGAAGGCGGCGCUCUGGAACAUUUCUGACGCUGAGGCUCGAAAGCGUGGGGAGCAA